rnacentral:lncRNA from 1 species
UCAAUCCAUGUGCCACCUAGAGUCCAAUAUGUUAAGGAUCUUAAAAUUGACUCACACCACCUUUAAUCUUGAUUUUUUCUCCAUGCCAUCUUCUAAUUAGCACCUCAAUUGUGGCCCCUUGGAUGGGCAAAAUGUGCUGAUCUAUGGUAGAGAAAAAUGCCGCCCAAUGAAGCCUCAUGAUGCAUCGGAGAAACAUCAGAAAAUUUUUUCUGAAGAGACUUUCUGCGUGAAGCAACUCUCGGAUACCUUUCCUGAUGUUUUCCAUGUAUCAUGUGCUUCUAGAUUGGCAUGAGAAUUUGACUUGGCAUGUGAGAAAAUUUGGAUGGGUGCG